GAUGAACGCUGGCGGCGUGCUUAACACAUGCAAGUCGAACGGAAAGGCCUGCUUUCUCUUCUUGAUUGCGUGUACUCGAGUGGCGAAGGGGUGCGUAACUCGUGAGUGUUUUGCCCCCAACUUGGUUAUAAGCCUCGGAACCUGUGUCUAAUUCCCGAUAGGACUGCAUGGUUGUGUCUGUGAAGGCAGACGUUUUUCUAGUGGUUGGGGGUGAGCUGGCGGCCUAUCUGCUUGUUGGAGGGGUAAUGGCCUACCAAGACGGCGAAGGGUCGCCGGAAUGAGAGGGUGCACGGCCAAACUGAGACUGGGACACGGCCCAGACUGCUACGGGAGGCAGGAGUGGGGCAUAAUGCGCAAUGGGCGGAAGCGUGAUGCAGCGACGCCGCGUUGGGGAUGACGGGAUUGGAGAUGUAAACUACUUUCGACCGCGAGGUAGCCAACUGGUUGGGCGGGUGGUGACGGUAGUGGUAGAAAAAGCACCGGCUAACUACGUG
rnacentral:rRNA from 1 species